rnacentral:lncRNA from 1 species
GUUGAUAUCAUGAUCAUCUUAACAAAAGUGAUUGGAUGUGUCUAAACUUUUCACAUGCUUGUUAGCGGUCAAAUUUUAUUUAUAGAAAACAAGUUUGCUUUCUUAGCCUUAUCUUUAUACAGCCUUGUCUCUCUAUAUGAGAUUUUGAUAUCUCAUUAGAUUUUUCAUGCAGCAGUUAAUAUUGCACAAGGAACUAUUUGUUGUUAAAAAAUUCAUUAUCUUUUCUUAGAACAAAUUAAAAUGUUGCUUGAACUGGGUUUGUUCAGUUUUAAUUGGAAUUUGAUAGCAAGGAGGAGGAGAAGCAUAGGAAGAGGGAGUCGUUAAGGGAGGG